CAUCAAAUGACUGAGAACUGUGGAGCAGAUUGGAGAGAACAGUAACUCCUCAUCUGGAAGAUGCAGACCCUGCUGUGAAGUGCUGUAAGUGAACCAGAUGCAAAGGAAAGCACCGAGAGGCAAACUGGCUUUCUUUGUCACCCAAGAGGGCACUGGCCAAGCCUGAAUCAGGGCUUAGCUCAUGUCCAGCACUCACAGUCAUCCUUUCCUUCUGCUGCUAAACAGCAUUUACUGGAACCCCCGGCAUGGAGCUCUGUAUCCAGACAGUUAAAUGCAGGUCAGCAGUGCGCACAACGGAAGGACGGGAGUUAUGCUGCUUUUAGCCGGAUCACUUGAUGAG
ensembl:lncRNA